UUUCGACAAAGUUCCCUCAUUUCUGAUUUUUAUUUUCUUUUAUACUUAUAAAUAAAGACUAUAAAUAAUAAUCCUAUAAUAUUUGUUUUUUCAACGUUGCUUCAUCGUUUUAGAUGUCAAAGCCUUUACCUCUUCUUCUACAAUGGCUGUCCUUAUUCCUAAUAGUCUCUCAACUCUUCUAUGCUUCUCAAGCUGAUUUAGGAACAGCAAGCCAGUAUAGCCCACCAUACACACCAUAUUGCACAAUUAGAAAUUGCGUGAUCUGGAGGUCAUGUGUUCGAGUCGUGAGAACAGUUCCAUGCAGGAAUACAAAAUAAGGCUACAUCAUGAAUAUUUCUCCACCAAUUUUCUCAAACAGCCAGUGCAUGUUUUGGGAGUGAUUCAACUCAUUCCCUUCAAGCAACUUCUUUGCAGCAGCUGGUGAAGGGAUUUGGGACGAUGGAGCUGCUUGUGGAAGACAGUAUUUGAUUAGUUGCAUUAGCUCAAUUUUGCCCAGAGCUUGUAAAUCAGGAGAGACUAUUCAGAUCAAGAUUGUUGACCGGGCACAAACUGUAGCUUCUAAGCCUACAAGACAAGGAACUACCACAGGCCUUUCUAGUGGUGCUUUUGCUGCAAUUGCUGAUUCAAAUGCCCUUUCUCUUAAUAUCGAUUUUCAACAGUAAGCAAUUCUUCCUAUAUCAGUUUAUUCUACGAGUAACUUUUUUCGAGAAUUCCUUUUUUUUUUCAAAAAGAAUUUUUAUUUUUGAAAAAUUGAUGCAUAUAGAAACGAGUUUCACAUUAAUAGCGGUCACUAUACGAGGUAAGCCAUGACCGUGACUUAAGGUCCGAUCCCUUAUACACUUCGGCCAUCACUAUGGUUUCGACCUUCUAGGUAUCUGGUAUAAAAAGGCAGCUUGGUGUGCUAAGCUUGAAUAGGUCAAAAUCCGACCAUAAGAUGGUUAUUCUUAAAAGGAACGAUAAGGGGUCGACCAAGUCGUAGUCAUGCCCACGGGGCCUGAUAGCAAAGAACACCUCGGCCAUUGCCGGGGUCGAACCAUCAGAAAGCUUAGAUCGCAGGACAGGUGUAAUGUGUGGGCAAGUAAUGAAGGGUACAGUCAUGAGAAAGUACGCCGGUUAAAGACCAUUGGACAAAAGGGAAAGUGGUCAGUAUAUAUAGAGAGGGGAAGGUCACCAAGGGAUCAUCGAAGUCCAGACCUAGCUACAACAUUUUACAAUCAUUAUCAUGGAACCAACGAAGAGAGAUCUCUGAGUCAUCAAUAGCUUUCUCUCUUCACUUCUGUGCUCUUACGAGUAUGGUGCAUGCCUAUAUUAGAUGUAAGCUCAUCAUUCACAUUUGAUGUAUGAUAAUCAUCUUAAGAAAUGUUACAUAAUCUUGUUCUUCUUCGACUUUUGUAUUCAAUAUAUUUGGAUCUAAAUUUAA